AGAGUUUGAUCCUGGCUCAGGAUGAACGCUGGCGGCGUGCUUAACACAUGCAAGUCGAACGAAGCACAAAAAUGGAAUUCUUCGGAAGGAAGUUUUUGUGACUGAGUGGCGGACGGGUGAGUAACGCGUGGGUAACCUGCCUCAUACAGGGGGAUAACAGCUGGAAACGGCUGCUAAUACCGCAUAACCCGAUAGGGCCG
rnacentral:rRNA from 1 species